rnacentral:rRNA from 1 species
UACGUAGGGUCCAAGCGUUAUCCGGAAUCACUGGGCGUAAAGCGUGCGUAGGUGGCGUGUUAAGUGUGAUGUUAAAUCGUGUGGCUCAACCAUAUCGAUGCAUCACAUACUGGCAUGCUAGAGGACAGCAGAGGCAAGUGGAAUUUGUAGUGUAGCAGUGAAAUGCGUAGAUAUUACAAGGAACACCAAUGGCGAAGGCAGCUUGCUGGGCUACUCCUGACACUGAGGUACGAAAGCGUGGGGAGCGAACAGG